rnacentral:rRNA from 1 species
CGCGUAGGCGGUUUUACAAGUCUGGUGUGAAAUAUCUCAGCUUAACUGAGGGACCGCGCUGGAAACUGUAAGACUAGAAUCUAGGAGGGGAAGCUGGAAUUCCUGGUGUAGGGGUGAAAUCUGUAGAUAUCAGGAAGAACACCGGUGGCGAGGGCGAACUUCUGGCCAUAGAUUGACGCUGAGGCGCGAAAGCGUGGGGAGCGAACAGGAUUAGAUACCCUGGUAGUC